UUUUAUGUGGUGAAAGUGAAGUAUUCCCUGCUAAGAAAUGCGGGUAUAUGUUCUGUUUUAAUCAAUGAAGCAUAAGAAAAUGACCCUUUGAUGGUCUAAAUAAUACAAAAAUAAAGGCCUAUAUGCGGCCGAGUGUAAUACACUCUUACCAAUAAAAAAUGGAAAUUAUUGUGAAGUGAAAAAUAUAAACAAAUUCAUAAUUAGAUUAAUCUACCACAAAAAAAGAAUUUCAUAGAUUGAUCAAUCUACCCGAGAGAUCAUUCAGAAGUGCAAUAAAGGAUCCACUUCUCUUGGCAGUU
rnacentral:misc_RNA from 1 species